rnacentral:rRNA from 1 species
UAGGGAAUCUUCCACAAUGGACGAAAGUACUGAUGGAGCAACGCCGCGUGAGUGAAGAAGGUUUUCGGAUCGUAAAGCUCUGUUGUUGGUGAAGAAGGAUAGAGGCAGUAACUGGUCUUUAUUUGACGGUAAUCAACCAGAAAGUCACGGCUAACUACGUGCCA